rfam:Myotis davidii contig197019, whole genome shotgun sequence.
GGUGGUUCUCAGUUCAUGCACUCCAGAAUUGGGCUCCCUCCUCUCUGGUUCAGGGUGCAUCACCCAAGAAUCGCA